rnacentral:rRNA from 1 species
GUCGAGAAUCUUUCACAAUGGGGGCAACCCUGAUGGAGCGACGCCGCGUGGAGGAUAAGGUCUUCGGAUUGUAAACUCCUGUCAUGCGUGAACAAGGUUGCUUGGUUAAUACCUGGGCAAAUUGAUGGUAACGCAAGAGGAAGAGACGGCUAACUCUGUGCCAGCAGCCGCGGUAAUACAGAGGUCUCAAGCGUUGUUCGGAAUCACUGGGCGUAAAGGGUGCGUAGGUGGCGUGGUAAGUCAGAUGUGAAAGCCCGGGGCUCAACCUCGGAACUGCAUCCGAUACUGCCAUGCUAGAGUACUGGAGAGGUGACUAGAAUUCUCGGUGUAGCAGUGAAAUGCGUAGAUAUCGAGAGGAAUACCAAAGGCGUAGGCAGGUCACUGGACAGUUACUGACACUGAGGCACGAAGGCCAGGGGAGCGAACGGGAUUAGAAACCCGGGUAGUCC